UACGAAGGGUGCUAGCGUUGCUCGGAAUCACUGGGCGUAAAGGGUGCGUAGGCGGGUCUUUAAGUCAGGGGUGAAAUCCUGGAGCUCAACUCCAGAACUGCCUUUGAUACUGAAGAUCUUGAGUUCGGGAGAGGUGAGUGGAACUGCGAGUGUAGAGGUGAAAUUCGUAGAUAUUCGCAAGAACACCAGUGGCGAAGGCGGCUCACUGGCCCGAUACUGACGCUGAUGCACGAAAGCGUGGGGAGCAAACAGG
rnacentral:rRNA from 1 species